UAGAUAGCAAUAAGCGUUCGGGAAGCA
rnacentral:sRNA from 1 species